AGUCAUACAUGACUGAGUGACUUUCACUUUUACUUUCAUAAAUAGACUAGGAAGGGAGGGCAAUAAAAGACAGGGAAAGGAGAGAAAUUUUUCAGGGUGUGAAGAUAUAAAUCUUGGUGUCUUGGUCUUUUCAGUUCCUGAAUGAGCUGCCCUUAAGUUUUUGGCCUUAAGUUUUACUGCUACAAGCAGCCAUUCGCUGUAAGAAACAUUUUCUGGCAGUCUGUCCCACACAAAGGUGUAAGCAAGCAUCCUUCUAGCAAGUAUCCACAGAAUUCUCUGUUAACUGGCAUUGUUAUAGCAACUGGAGUGUCAGUGGAGGCAGUCAUGGUCUUCAUAAUCAAGUAUCACUAUGGCAACAGAAGUCUCUAAGAAAGUAAAAGUAAAAAAAAAAAAAAAAAAAAAAAAACCAAAAACCUUAAACUGUCAACUGGAAUCAAAGGGGUUUGUGAAGGAAAAAAGAUGGAGGCUGAAAUGAACAGGAGGCUGGAGUAAGGAGCAGAGCAAAGAGAAAUGAUUGUACAGACGCUGAACAAACAAGAGAGAAAGGAAACAAUAAGCAAAACAGAGGACAGAGACGUGGCUCACAUAAGAAGAAAGAAGGCAGGAAAAAACACAUUAAUAUAAAAUGACAGUGUGAUUGCUUCAGACAAGGGCAUGUUGCCAUUUGGUCCAUUACAAAUAUAUAUUUCCUUCAUUAGAGGAUCUAAAUGGAUGUUGUUUUCCAAGAGAGAAUUAAGGGAAACAGGAGUGAGGAGAAAAGAAGAAGUGGAGUAGAGUAGGAAGAAAGAAAAUGCAAAGUGGUACAUUACAGAUCUGGCCACAGCUUCUCAAGAAGACACCAUUGGUAGCUUCGUUAUGUGAGACACAACCAUGGUAUGUGCUCAGAGAUCAGUCUCAGAACAGCCCAGCAGGGGCAGAGAAGAGGAAGAAUUACCUGCCAGCCUCUUCCUAUCUUCAUCUCCCGUGGAUCAAAGUCCUCCUCAUUUGGGUAUUAACUCUCCUGCACUUUAGGCUGUGUUAACCUGCUCUCAGGAGCAACUCUGGGAAAAGCUCAGUAUUUGUAGACAGAUUGGACCAGCCCUGGACCUGCUUUGGCCAUGCAAAACCUAACCUCAUCUCCAGGGAGACUGAUAAAGUAGAUGGUAGUAAGAGACGUAAUGACAUUUGCAACAAAGUGUAACACCACAGAAAGAGCAUGAACUGUCUUUGGAGCUGUCUAGCAAGUCAGACAAGUGGCUCAGGCCUGAGGGAAUGAGGGCUCAGCAGCCCUGGGGUGGGACCAGGAGAUAGUGAUGUGGUAACAACUGUCCCCAUGACUGUGGAAAAAUGUAAAUGAGCAAUCAUUUUUUAGUUUUCUGUGGUUGCUUUAGCUACUAGAUUUCAUUCCAAUAAAUCAGC